rnacentral:lncRNA from 1 species
GGUCCUUCUGCUCAUCACUGGCACUGUGCUGGGGCUUCAGGGGCACCGACUCCCAUAAACCAACUUUCAAGGUCAGAUGUGCGAAGCCUCACCAGGGUUGUUGAAGCCAAUGUCAGCAGCAUGUGGUAGUAGAUUACCAGCUCCGAGCCUGGUCCCUCUGCCUUCGCCAGGCUCCCGAUCCCAGCAUCACCUCGGGCUAAGCAGGGCUGCAGGGUUUCCGGAUCUCAAAUCUGAGCUCAGACAGACUCAGCUGUGCAUCCUGAGUGACCUCAGCUCCCCUUUGUUCCGCCUUUUCCCUGUAAGGCGCCCACGCUGUACUCCCGUGCAGAGCAGCGCCCUCCGCCACACUGCUGCCGGGAGCAGCCCCGCGUCCACGCUGGGUAACAGGAUAAGCACAGUUCGGGAGCAUGGCGCCAGCCCUACCGCUAAGGCAGGACGAAGCCUGAGGACGUCUAGGGGUGAAAUGAGCCGGCGGCCUAGGCCUAGGCCUACGCCCGCCCUAGAGCAGCCAAAAUCCGCCCCCGGAAACAGAACGGUGUCGCCAGGGGCUGGUACGGCCGGGAGGGGAGGGGUGACAUGUUCAACGGCUUGGGGUUGCACCUUGUAAACGUACUGAACACCAGAGCACGCAAGACUGACUUAAAUGACAAAUGUCGUUAUGUGUAUUUGACCAAAGUAAAACAUUUAUAUGUAAAUAAAGUAAAAGAACCCCCAAGAACAGGUCCCCUAAAUCCUAGUUUCCAGAAACAAAUUGUGUUGUUUUGUCAUAUUUAUUUCUGAUUUUUCCCCAUAGUGUACCUUUUCAAAAAAAAAAAAAAAGCUGAUUAUACCAUAUAUACAAGUGUUCUACAUUUUUGUUCACUUUAACAUACUUUCACAUGUUAUUAAAAACACCUAUAUGGGGCCAGGGAUUUAGCUCAGUGGUUUCGCCGCCAGCUGCGCAAGCGCAAGGACCUGAGUUCAAUCCAGGUACAUAAAUAAAUAAAUAAAUAAAUAAUUUUAAAACCUAUAAAAUCUAUAGUUCUGAGAUAUUCCGUGGACACCAGGCAUGGUGGCGCACGCCUGCAAUCCUAGCACUCGGAAGGCUGAGGCAGGGGGAUCACCAUAAGUUUGAGGCCAGCCUGGGCCACAUAGUGAGACUGUCUCAAAAAAUAAAAUAAAAGCAGGCUGGAAAUUUAGCUCAGUGGCACUGGGUCUGCCUCAAAAGUGCAAGGUCCUGAGUUCAAUCCCCGGCACCAAAACAAACAAACAAACAAAAUAAAAGAAUCCACGGAUUCCAAGUGAACAGCCCAUAAAAUUCCCGAAACACUUUGGACAUCUAGACCGAAACUCCCCCUCCUUUGUCCCUGGCUCCCAGCUCCCGAGGGAACUACUUACUUCCUGAUGCCCGGCCCAGUGGGUCAGGGCCAGGUCCCGGGAGGUACCACUGCCCAGGACAUGGCCCACAUGGGAAGCCCAGGGGCAGAAGUGAACCCACACCCCCGGAACCUGGCCCAGAACUUCUCUCCGCCUGGACCUCAUGUCCCAGGGUAGCUACCGUGGCCCUUGGUGUCACCUCAGUUCUCAGGAAGGGGCUUUCCACACCUGAGGUUUUGUCUUUCUUUUAGUGCUGGAGACCGAAGCUCAGCCCUCAAACAACUGCUUCUCCAACUGGGUUUGUGUUUGCACCGCCUGCCACCGCCGGGCGGGAGCCCCCUCUCCUCCCCAGAGCAGAGGUGAGAAGAUCCUCUGGGCUGCCCAGCCCGUGUGAUUCAUAGUGCAAUGAGGCAGAUUCCUCCCCCUCCCCAGGAAGGAUCAGAGUCUUUGGGCUGGGAGUGCAGCUCAGCCAGAGGCUCUGAGUUUGAUCCCCAGCACUGGGGGGAAAAGCUUUCUACCCACUUCCUAAAAGGGGAAACACCAGGGCCCCAUUAGGAGGGUGCACGACUCACUGGGAGUGUAGUUGCUGGGUAGGAAAGACGUGACCAGCAGAGGGGCCCCCUACAUUUGGGUCUUUGAGACAGGGUCUGACUAUGUAGCCUAGCUGUCCUUGAACUCUGGAUCCUCCUGCCUCAGUCUCCAGAGUGCUGGGAUCACAGGUGUGCGCUACCACGUCCAGCAGUUUUUCUACGAAAAUGUGUCCAUGCACCUAUGGGUGAUGUACAGGGUCUUCACUCUUUCUCCUAGGUCAUUCUAGAAGGUGGUCCCAACGUCUCACUGACAUGAUCUGGGUUUGCAUGCACCCUGAGACCAGGACUGAAGGCUCAGUCCCAGCUCUGUGCCACUGGGAGGGGGUAGAAACUUGUCCCUGGAGGGGAGAGGGGUUCUCCGGUCAUCCUCAGCAGGGCUAUGUCCCCGAAGGGGUGUGCCCCUUCCUCUCCGCCCUGACACCCACAGGUGGGCUGCCUGCUCCUCCAGCCAAAUUCCUGGACCCUCCAAGACUCUGAGCCAAGAGAAACCUUUCCUCUCCGUAAGCUUAUUAGCUCAGGUGUCUGUUACAGUAACAGAGAGGCCAACAGAAUACCCUGUCUCCACUAAAUUGAGAAGUGCCUCUUGUUACUGUGUGGAGCUCACACACCUGAACAUUCCCAGAGCACACAAGGGAGCUGACAGUUACCCAGCCCACGGGGCUCUGCCCACUGCACAAGCUAAUGUGUGCUUGGAAAGGUGUUGGAUCAUGGUACGGGCUGCAUGGGUAUUAGCUGCUGCUGCUCCUAUUACUAUUAUUUUUGUUUUGUUUUUGCUUUUUGACACAGUCUUGCUAAGUAGUUCAGGCUGGCCUCGAACUCAUGGCAAUCCUCCUGCCUCAAUCUCCUAAGAGCUGGGAUUACAGGUAUGUGCCACCAUGCCCAGCUCUGCUGCUACUGUUAAGCUUGGCAGGAUAAUCAAACACGUCCCACAUCCCACAACAGUCAAGACACCCCCACCUCAGCAGGCUCUAGGGAUGGAUUUCUCUACUAAGAUGGAGACUCUAUUAUAU